CAAGACCUGCGCUUUUGGAGCGGCCGAUGCCUGAUUAGCUUGUUGGUAAGGUAAAAGCUUACCAAGGCUUCGAUCAGUAGCUGGUCUGAGAGGACGACCAGCCACACUGGGACUGAGACACGGCCCAGACUCCUACGGGAGGCAGCAGUGGGGAAUUUUGGACAAUGGGCGCAAGCCUGAUCCAGCCAUGCCGCGUGAGUGAAGAAGGCCUUCGGGUUGUAAAGCUCUUUCAGCCGGGAAGAAAUGGCUGCGACUAAUAAUCGCAGUUCAUGACGGUACCGGAAGAAGAAGCACCGGCUAACUACGUGCCAGCAGCCGCGGUAAUACGUAGGGUGCGAGCGUUAAUCGGAAUUACUGGGCGUAAAGGGUGCGCAGGCGGUUUUGUAAGUCAGAUGUGAAAUCCCCGGGCUUAACCUGGGAACU
rnacentral:rRNA from 1 species